rnacentral:rRNA from 1 species
CGAGAGCGUGGGUAGCGAACAGGAUUAGAUACCCUGGUAGUCCACGCCGUAAACGAUGCUCACUGGUUCUGUGCGAUAUAUUGUACGGGAUUAAGCGAAAGUAUUAAGUGAGCCACCUGGGGAGUACGUCGGCAACGAUGAAACUCAAAGGAAUUGACGGGGGCCCGCACAAGCGGAGGAACAUGUGGUUUAAUUCGAUGAUACGCGAGGAACCUUACCCGGGUUUAAAUGUAGAUUGCAUGAGGUGGAAACGCUUCUUCCCUUCGGGGCUAUUUACAAGGUGCUGCAUGGUUGUCGUCAGCUCGUGCCGUGAGGUGUCGGGUUAAGUCCCAUAACGAGCGCAACCCCUACCGUUAGUUGCCAUCAGGUCAAGCUGGGCACUCUGGCGGGACUGCCGGUGUAAGCCGAGAGGAAGGUGGGGAUGACGUCAAAUCAGCACGGCCCUUACGUCCGGGGCUACACACGUGUUACAAUGGGGGGUACAGAAGGCAGCUACACGGCGACGUGAUGCUAAUCCCAAAAACCUCUCUCAGUUCGGAUCGAAGUCUGCAACCCGACUUCGUGAAGCUGGAUUCGCUAGUAAUCGCGCAUCAGCCAUGGCGCGGUGAAUACGUUCCCGGGCCUUGUACACACCGCCCGUCAAGCCAUGGGAGCCGGGGGUACCUGAAGUGCGUAACCGCGAGGAGCGCCCUAGGGUAAAACUGGUGACUGGGGCUAAGUCGUAACAAGGUAGCCGUACCGGAAGGUGCGGCUG